rnacentral:rRNA from 1 species
AUUGAACGCUGGCGGCAGGCCUAACACAUGCAAGUCGAGCGGAUGAAGGGAGCUUGCUCCUGGAUUCAGCGGCGGACGGGUGAGUAAUGCCUAGGAAUCUGCCUGGUAGUGGGGGAUAACGUCCGGAAACGGGCGCUAAUACCGCAUACGUCCUGAGGGAGAAAGUGGGGGAUCUUCGGACCUCACGCUAUCAGAUGAGCCUAGGUCGGAUUAGCUAGUUGGUGGGGUAAAGGCCUACCAAGGCGACGAUCCGUAACUGGUCUGAGAGGAUGAUCAGUCACACUGGAACUGAGACACGGUCCAGACUCCUACGGGAGGCAGCAGUGGGGAAUAUUGGACAAUGGGCGAAAGCCUGAUCCAGCCAUGCCGCGUGUGUGAAGAAGGUCGUCGGAUUGUAAAGCACUUUAAGUUGGGAGGAAGGGCAGUAAGUUAAUACCUUGCUGUUUUGACGUUACCAACAGAAUAAGCACCGGCUAACUUCG